rnacentral:rRNA from 1 species
UACGAAGGGGGCUAGCGUUGCUCGGAAUCACUGGGCGUAAAGCGCACGUAGGCGGCUCUUUAAGUCAGGGGUGAAAUCCCAAGGCUCAACCUUGGAACUGCCCUUGAUACUGGGGAUCUCGGGUCCGGAAGAGGUUGGUGGAACUCCGAGUGUAGAGGUGAAAUUCGUAGAUAUUCGGAAGAACACCAGUGGCGAAGGCGGCCAACUGGUCCGGCACUGACGCUGAGGUGCGAAAGCGUGGGGAGCAAACAGG